UUAUAAUUUUAGUUAUGUUUAAUUAUAUAAACCAGAUGGCCUGUUUGUUGAUAGAAAUACGAUAAAAUAUGAAUGUAAUGCAAGAAGCAUAAUGUAGGCAUGGAACGUUUUUUUUUUGUAAAAAGCAGAGUCGAGCGAGUUGAAGAACCUUGAGAGUCGAGAGAGUCGUGAGAGGGCAUUCAGAAAGAACCGUUAAAAGUGUCAAUUGUGUUAUUAAAAGUGUUUAUUUGAUUUGUUAAUUCGUGUUGCUUGAAUGUUAUUUGCUUUGUUUAACUGUUUGUUGUUCUAUCAUCAUUACUUUUGUAGGCAAUAAUUUCACAAAUAGAAUUUUCGUCAACAACAAAGCGUGUAUUUCCUUGAUAAAACGGAAGACUGGUUCGGACGUGCGAUCUUGACGACGUUCUCCCGACAGAGUGUCGCCUGGCUUCGUGUCCUCGUUCGGGUAUCCUCCUCGGUCCAACCCUCGUCCGGAUACCCUAGCUCGGUUUACAGGCGUCGGUCAUAAACAUUGGAAUCGGCCCGUGGUCCUUAAUCUCGAGUGGUCUCUUCUACCGAAUAGCCAAGGAAGUCUUCCCACGCCUACGGGCGGCGUGGCUAACAUUUGCUUACACUUUUAUUAAAUAAACAUUAUUUAUAUUAUAUCUCUAGAAUAUCUUUUUAGAAAGAACUUUUUAUAAAGACCGAGCUGAAUCGAUCAAAAAUCAUGGAUUAAAAACCGACUGAUUCAAAAAAUGAUUUUAUUGAAGUAUUCGAUGAUAUGAAAUCUUUGAAAUUUAGGCUGACUUUGUACUCUCCGAAAAUUCUUUACUCAAAAAAAAAAAUCAUUAUUGAUAUAUUAUGGCUAUCUCUGUUUCUUAUUAACGGAGAUUUUCCAUAUCUCCAAUAAUAUAACAAAGAUAUUUAAAUCAAUACUUUAAUACUGUGGGAUACUGUGGGAAUUCUGAGAAAAGGCCCAGAACUUUCCCCAGUGCCCAAGAGACGAUCGUCACCUGUGGAGUGCCACUUGGGAUGUUGUUUAGAGUGAAGGCUAUGCCUCGAAAUAUUUGUAUAAAGUCACCCAGGCCUAGGUCUUAGAAAUAUUAAGGAUACGAAUGUGUUUGUGUGCAUGAAUGUGUGAGAAGAAUAACGAAGCUUUGAGAAGGCAUAUUCCAAAGAAAUUAGGAGAGAGACAUCAGAGAGCAGCGAGUCGCGAGAGUAUAAAGAUUAUAGAGAGUUUCGAAUUGAGAGAGAAUGCAGAGAGUGUAGCGAGUUUUAAUAUGAGAGCGAGUUUUAAUCUGAAUAUUUUUCUGUUACGGCUGCAUUAGAACUUUUGUUUUCUAUCAAAUCCCAGAAAAUUCGAAACUCGUCCGGGAUUCCCACAAUACUUAUAUUAUAACAUGUAAACAUAUUUUUCAAAAUUUAGGACUUGCGCGCCACUCAUCAACUGAAGUGUUUAUAUUCGCACAUUUGCGACGAAAGUGAUACAAUUGAAAAAAUUAUAUUCUUCAAAAGAAACGAAAACCAGUUUUAGAACAAAAUUAGAAAUUUUAUUAAUCAAAAGAAAAAAAAAAAAAGAAGAAUGAUAGAGAAGAAUUUUUUAUCCUAUUAACGCGUAUUUGUUCACAAUAAUUAUCGGUAUAAAGUUCAUACAAUAAAGUAUAUCCACAUAAAUCAGAAUUAUUAUUAUUAUUAUUAUUUCCAAUAUCUUGGAAAUAUGUUAUUUUGUGCUAUCGAUCUUGGUAUUUAAAUUUCGUUGGGCUUCAGUAUUGAGAUAACUUUAGCUUUUCUCCAGUUGUUGAUGAAGAUUUUAUGGAUUCAUAUACAAUUAUACAAAAGUCUUAAGAAAAAAAGGCAUUUCUUCCAGGCAUUAUAAGAGAUGUUUAAGCAAUCUAUUUGAUACUUUUUAGAUUUAUUUGAACUAUCUUCUGUCAGUUUUGGUCGAUCCCCGGAGAGCGUGAUGCCUGUUAAAAAGUCUCCGGACAGAAUCGGUGGAGCUGAAAGUUGAGCUAUUAUUUCUGAGCUAAUUUUUCAAGGUCUUGCAAAUCAAGGGGGGAAACUAUUAGGAACGUAGAUAUCGCAGAUGUGAAUUCUUUUUGGGAAUGAAAUAGAUAUUGCGACGGCUUCAAAGUUUGAAUUUAGAGGGAUUUCAGUAGAAUCAUAUUUGUCUGAAAUUACAAUGACCACUUCUCCGCUGGCGUUUUCAUUUGCCCGGUUUCUGACAGUUGGAUGGUACCAUAGCACCGGUUGCUACGUACUCAUCACUAUGGAUACGAGCGAAGACUGCUGGUUAGAGACACCGUGCGUGUGGCGCGUUUCUUUUUCGUCUUCGUCAGAAGUAUUGCGAGGCUCAUGGUGAGAAGCACGUGCGAAACAUAUAUUGCAUUGCACGCCGGCAACGACUGUCCCAGACGCCUGAGAUUAUCGGAGAGUUUCCACAAACCCCUAUAAAACACCCAAAUCGCCGCAUAUCCCCCAUCUCGUGUGCUUUGCGAAAGUCACUUUCCUCAACGCCCGGGCCACAAAGGAAUUGAGAGUCUUGUGAGAAGAGUAAAUUAUGCGGUGUUUCGGGAUCACGAGCCAGACUCAUCAGUGAGGCUGAAUGGCGGCGGCGACCUCUGCCCCAGAAGCCUUGAAGCAGCACACUGCUACAACUAUUGGACUAACAGUCGAAUUAUACAGAACGAGGAAUGAGGCGACUACCCAUUCUUGACCAGUACGCAAACAGCGCUGUUUAACUUGCACGAUCGCCGUUAAUCCACCAGUUACUCAUAGCUGUACCCGUCGUUGGGAUUUAUUGAUAUGGAACUUAAAUAUUAACAGCGAGACAUAAUACAAGGAUAAAUAUGUAAAUAACGCAAAAAAGAACGAAAUAUGUAAAUGAAUCCAAUAACGGAUAAAGCCAGCGGUGAAAGAAGACAGAAAUGAGAGUAGGAUUUAGGAUCUAUGCGUAAGACCUACAAUGACAACAGCAGCCAAGAUGUUCAGUAAACGUCACAAAAUAAACAGAGUAGUGAUAUACUCAAGUGAAGGCCUACGUUAUUUACAUAUUUUAAUCAAAAUUGAGUCACAACAGGACAAACGUCGGGACAAAACGAUAGCACGCUCUAAAAAUUAUUAAAUUUCCUUUUAUUAAACAAAUAGUACGGAAUUUUCUUUAUUCUUCCGUAGUGUGUAGUGUAUUUUCCAGUUUGUAUAAGUAAUAUAAAUCAAACAUUUACAAUACAUCUUGUGUUAUUAAAAAAAAUAUAUGAUUAUAUUUAUCGAGUCAAAGUAAUAGUACAUUUCGUGAAAUGCAGUAGGUAGAAACAAGAUAAUGAUGUUUAAUGAUUAAUAUGGCCUUUGCAUUUAAUAAUGGCAACAAUUCUUUGAGAUAGAGAUUUAUAUAGGUUUUAAUUAUUUUUGGUUUAUUUCUUCCUUCUUACAAUAUAUUUUUUUAAUUUAUUAAUAUUUGCGUUUUCCAUUUCAAUAUACGACACUCGACAAAUUCCUCCAAUAAUUUUCUAUAAUAUUUAAAUCCGGAGAUUUGGCUAGCCAUUCGAAAAAACGAAUUUUUUUUUUAUUUGUAUGUUUUGAUAUUGCUUUCGUGAUAUGCACGACCGGUUACCAUGUUGAAAAAUAUAAAAAAAUACUUUUUCCCAACACUUCGUGUCGUAUACGUGUUAAUUUGGUCUUCAAUCAUUUCAAUAUGUUUUUAACUAUUUAAUUUUCCUAUAAUAAAUUUUCCUACUUCCAUCUUACCGUGUUAAUCAAUACCUCCGUAAAUCAAUUAUACCGCUUCUAUGAGUCGACGAAACAAAAGUUGUUGCUCCUUUCGAAAUCAUGAUGACGUGUAGUGCAGUAGUAGAGAUUCGUCUAAAUUCAACCUUUUUUUAUCGGUAAAUCUGAUGUAAUAAUCUACACACUCCUACUAGUUUACGAGAUACGAGAAUGUGCUAUCAUUUCAUCUCCGGAUGUAGUACGACUUUAACAAUUUCUGGACAUUCAUUAUCGUAUACAGAGUACCAUAAUAUUAUAUGUCGCAACAGUCAGUAUCCUUACACUUUAUUUAAGUGGAAAUUAACGAAAAUAUCGAACUAUCGAGAUAUUUGCAAAGAAGUAGUAUUGUUAGCAGUACAGUGAAUUGAACUAUAGUCAAUUAAUUAUGUAAUGACGUGACAUUAAUUAUGUAGAACAAUUAUGCGGCCGUGACAACGUCUUAUUAUAUGGCCGUGGCAUAAUAAGAAGUUGGAUACAAUUACAUUAUCACAUAAUUCAGACCUGUUGAACUUUCUCCCCUCUGCAAGUUGUGACGCCAAUUCCCCUUCUUCAUUUUUUCGAAGGAAAAUGCACACACAACCUAACCCAAACAACGCUCAUUCGAUCGAACGUUUCCUCUACUACGUUUGGUCUGCUGUCAUAUGCCACGGCACAGUCGAUAGUACAAUCGAUGAAACUGAUACUUUUGAAACGUGGCGCACGUCAACGAAAUUGAAAUGCAGCGGUAAGGCUCAUGUGGUCUAAUUCACCAAUUCUUCUAACUCUGCUGAUUAACUCUGGAUGAUAAAACUGAUUCUUACAUUGCUCCUCAGACAGAUUCAUGAGAUUUUCGUUUUCUCUUUCAAAAAAUUUCAAGGAGAGUUAAGUUGAGGAGUGGGGAACAUGUUAAAAACAAUCAGGAACGAUGAGAACGAACUUCGGUCGAACUUAUUAUAUUUCGAUGACGAUACUUGUAAAUACUUUGUAAUUAGUCGUACUUUUAAAUUAUAAAUAUUUUAUUAAAUCAAUUCGUGUGUUCUUAGACAAACA